rnacentral:rRNA from 1 species
GGAUGAACGCUGGCGGCGUGCCUAAUACAUGCAAGUCGAGCGAACAGACGAGGAGCUUGCUCCUCUGACGUUAGCGGCGGACGGGUGAGUAACACGUGGAUAACCUACCUAUAAGACUGGGAUAACUUCGGGAAACCGGAGCUAAUACCGGAUAAUAUAUUGAACCGCAUGGUUCAAUAGUGAAAGACGGUUUUGCUGUCACUUAUAGAUGGAUCCGCGCCGCAUUAGCUAGUUGGUAAGGUAACGGCUUACCAAGGCAACGAUGCGUAGCCGACCUGAGAGGGUGAUCGGCCACACUGGAACUAAGACACGGUCCAGACUCCUACGGGAGGCAGCAGUAGGGAAUCUUCCGCAAUGGGCGAAAGCCUGACGGAGCAACGCCGCGUGAGUGAUGAAGGUCUUCGGAUCGUAAAACUCUGUUAUUAGGGAAGAACAAAUGUGUAAGUAACUAUGCACGUCUUGACGGUACCUAAUCAGAAAGCCACGGCUAACUACGUG